GACGAACGCUGGCGGCGUGCCUAACACAUGCAAGUCGAGCGGAGGUAUUCAAGGAGCAAUCUGCGGAUACUUUAGCGGCGGACGGGUGAGUAACGCGUGAGCAACCUGCCUUUCACAGGGGGAUAAGGCGGCGAAAGCCGCUCUAAUACCGCAUGAGACCCCGGUGGUGAUACCACAGCGGUCAAAGGAGCAAUCCGGUGAGAGAUGGGCUCGCGUCCGAUUAGGUAGUUGGUGAGGUAAAGGCUCACCAAGCCAAUGAUCGGUAGCCGGCCUGAGAGGGUGAACGGCCACAUUGGAACUGAGAGACGGUCCAAACUCCUACGGGAGGCAGCAGUGGGGAAUAUUGGGCAAUGGGGGAAACCCUGACCCAGCAACGCCGCGUGAGGGAAGAAGGUUUUCGGAUUGUAAACCUCUGUUCUUGGGGAAGAGCAGAAGACGGUACCCAAGGAGGAAGCCCCGGCUAACUACGUG
rnacentral:rRNA from 1 species